rnacentral:pre_miRNA from 1 species
CUUGUACUCCCUCCAUCCGGAAAUACUUGUCGGAGGAAUGGAUGUAUCUAGACAUAUCUUAGUUCUAGAUACAUUCAUUUUUAUCCAUUUCUUCGACAAGUAUUUCCGGACGAAGGGAGUACAUG